AUUGAACGCUGGCGGCAGGCCUAACACAUGCAAGUCGAACGAGUGGCGGACGGGUGAGUAAUGUCUGGGAAACUGCCUGAUGGAGGGGGAUAACUACUGGAAACGGUAGCUAAUACCGCAUACCAUCGGAUUUGCCCAGAUGGGAUUAGCUAGUAGGUGGGGUAAAGGCGAACCUAGGCGACGAUCCCUAGCUGGUCUGCGAGGAUGACCAGCCACACGGGAACGGAUACACGGUCCAGACGCCUCCGGGAGGCAGCAGUGGGGAAUAUUGCAAAAUGGGGGAAAGCCUAAUGAAGCCAUGCCGAGUGUAUGAAGAAGGCCUUCGGGUUGAAAAGUACUUUCAGCGGGGAGGCGUUACCCGCAGAAGAAGCACCGGCUAACUCCGUGCCAGCAGCCGCGGUAAUUC
rnacentral:rRNA from 1 species